CACCGCCACGGUAAUACGUAGGUGGCAAGCGUUGUCCGGAAUUAUUGGGCGUAAAGGGCUCGCAGGCGGUUUCUUAAGUCUGAUGUGAAAGCCCCCGGCUCAACCGGGGAGGGUCAUUGGAAACUGGGGAACUUGAGUGCAGAAGAGGAGAGUGGAAUUCCACGUGUAGCGGUGAAAUGCGUAGAGAUGUGGAGGAACACCAGUGGCGAAGGCGACUCUCUGGUCUGUAACUGACGCUGAGGAGCGAAAGCGUGGGGAGCGAACAGGAUUAGAUACCCCCGUAGUCCCUGUCUCUUAUACA
rnacentral:rRNA from 1 species